GGGGGUGUAGCUCAGUGGGAGAGCGUGAGCUUAGAGUGUGUAAGUCCCAGGGUUCAAGCCCUGGCAACUCCG
rnacentral:tRNA from 1 species